GACGGAGGGGGCAAGCGUUGUCCGGACUUACUGGGCGUAAAGGGCCCGUAGGCGGCCUGAUGCGUCGGUGCUGAAAGCGCCCCGCUUAACGGGGUGAGGCGUGCCGAUACGAUCAGGCUCGAGGCAGGCAGAGGGUGGCGGAAUUCCGGGUGUAGUGGUGAAAUGCGUAGAGAUCCGGAGGAACGCCUGUGGCGCAAGCGGCCACCUGGGCCUGACCUGACGCUGAGGGGCGAAAGCGUGGGGAGCAAACCGGAUUAGAUACCCGGGUAGUCCACGCGGUAAACGAUGCCAGCUCGGUGUCUGGGGUCCGUUUAGGACCCUGGGUGCCUCAGCUCACGCGGUAAGCUGGCCGCCUGGGGACUACGAGCGCAAGCUUAAA
rnacentral:rRNA from 1 species